UUAGGAAUUUUGGGCAAUGGGCGCAAGCCUGACCCAGCAACGCCGCGUGGGUGACGACGGCCUUCGGGUUGUAAAGCCCUUUUCUGGGGGACGAUGAUGACGGUACCCCAGGAAGAAGCACCGGCUAACUACGUGCCAGCAGCCGCGGUAAUACGUAGGGUGCGAGCGUUGCCCGGAUUUAUUGGGCGUAAAGGGCGCGUAGGCGGCUCCGUACGUCCCGCGUGAAAGCUCCCGGCUCACCUGGGAGAGGUCGCGGGAUACGGCGGGGCUCGAGCACGGUAGGGGGCCAUGGAAUUCCCGGUGUAGUGGUGGAAUGCGUAGAGAUCGGGAGGAACACCAGUGGCGAAGGCGGUGGCCUGGACCGAUGCUGACGCUGAGGCGCGAAAGCGUGGGGAGCGAUCCGGAUUAGAUACCCCGGUAGUCC
rnacentral:rRNA from 1 species